GCGACUGUCUGUUUUACACCAAUGAUAAGGAACACAUGCGAGUCACGCCCGCCCACUUUACCACGGAGGAGGGGGAUGACGAGGAGGAGGGGGACAGCGUGGACAGCUGACUGUAGGUCAAGUCGGGCAAACAACAAGGAACUGGACAAGAACACAGGAGCCAGGACCAAGUGCUGAUUCCCAGUCAUUUGAUGACGAAAUGAGAGAGGAGCUGGCUGCAGCCCGGGUGCUGCACGAUCAAAGGCCUUCGAAGGGACAAAGUCGGUCUUGGUGGUGCUAAAGCUAAGCCCAGCGUCUGCCAAAGAGAUUAAACACAUUUCAUAUCUGCCUGUACCUCCUUAUAUACACACGCACAGGAGCGAUCCAUCACCUGGCCCACUCAGUAUGUUGCUUGGCAGCUGGAUGGCUGGUCUGGCCUGCUCUCCGUCCUUUUUGCCAUAGUUCUCUUUUGCUGUGGUUGUGUAGUACAGGCCUGACAAAGCUGGUGGGCUGAACUCUACAUGGCUUUUGGACAUCAGCUCAGGCCCAGGCACAUACACUGGACGCUCUGUGUGGUUCAGCUACAAAGAGUUACAGUCAUGCAUGGUCAAAAAAUGACUUUCAUAAUUUACUGCCAUACCAACUCAAAAUCAACUCCACAGUCUAUUGUGAAAUGUGCGCAAAGGUCAUACAUUUACCUUUAAGUGAAGAAUGUUCAGUUUACAAUGUAUAUGACAUUAUUUACAAGUAAAGUUAUAAUUACAAAACAACAACAACUAAGUAGAGUCUGUUAUCUCACAUCAGAGAAGGAGAUUCUGUUCGUUGUGACUGACAUUCUUUCUCUGUUGCAACUCGUAUCAGUGUCCCCCUUGGGCAUGGAACUGAAAUUUUAGUUUCUCCUUGUCGUCAUAACCGGACUGCCUGAGAAAAUAAAAGGAGGUAUGUUAAUCUAUAAUACUGUGGCAUAUUGGUCUGACUGGUUCAGGAUAUAAGUAAGAAAAAGGUAAGUCAUGAUACACAGACUGUGUAUUGUACAGUAACACGCGGAUAUCAAGGUCAUCCAGGAGUUUUACUAAGAGAGUGUUUCAACACGGCUGAGAUCCCAUGUCAAAGUUGUGUCCCAACUGUGAUAUCUAAAUACUUAAAAUACUUGUCAAGUGUAAAAGAUCAUAAAAAAAAAUGUUUUAGAAAAGUAAAGUUAACACUAAACAGUAUCAGCGCAAUACAGUUUUCUCAAAUAUAUAGAGUGCAGAAGAAAUAUGAGGUCAUUCAUGUUUAUGUUUUUACUUUGCCCAUUUGGCAGCUAAAUAAUUAAACUGAAAAAAAAUAGAAUUUUAAAAGUGUCACUGUGGGAAAUUUAGCAUAAAAUCUGGACUUUUAGUGCAGGAAACACUCACCCAGCUUGUGAUAACAAAAGGCUUCUUUGGAAGUAGAUGACCAUGAGUCCUCAGAGAAAUUUCCAAGGUUAAGCUUUAAAUGCUCUUUGAUCACAUGUGGACUGUAGCAACAACACAGAUAUUGCUUUUAUUGCAUUUGCAAGGGGGAUAAAUUCAACAGCAGAUUUUUAGACCAUUUUACAAUUUUGGUUUUUGAGGCCUCAGAGUCAAUAAAAUGUCAACCGAUAAAGAUUCACACCCAGAGAUCUCAUUGAUUGACUUCUUUUACUUGACAUAUCUGUGUAAACUGACUCACGAGGCGGGAGCUUUACAGUGAAGCAGAAAAGCUGCAGACCCGCAGACUGUGGGCCGGCUGAAUGACGCAGUGUGGGUUGUUUCUCUCUCUACAAUCUUCACAGGGUCACCCAUAAU